GACGAACGCUGGAGGCGUGCUUAACACAUGCAAGUCGAACGAUGAAAUGGAGCUUGCUCCAUGGAUUAGUGGCGAACGGGUGAGUAACACGUGAAUAACCUGCCCUUAAUUUUGGAAUAACCCAGGGAAACCUGGGCUAAUACCGGAUAAGUAAACCUGUGGCAUCACAUGGUUUUGGAAAGUUUUUCGAUUAAGGAUGGAUUCGCGGCCUAUCAGCUUGUUGGUGAGGUAAUGGCUCACCAAGGCGACGACGGGUAGCCGGCCUGAGAGGGUAGACGGACCCACGGGGCCGAAGACACGGCGCAGACGCCUACGGGAGGCAGCAGUGGGGAAUAUUGCGCAAUGGACGAAAGUCUGACGCAGCGACGCCUCGUGAGGGACGAAGGUCUUCGGAUUGUAAACCUCUUACAGCAGGGACGAAGCGAAAGUGACGGUACCUGCAGAAGAAGCACCGGCUAACUAUGUGCCAGCCGCCGCAGUAA
rnacentral:rRNA from 1 species